AGCUCCACUGGUUUCUUCUCUGUUUGGAGUUUCAGCACUUCUAGGAGGAGGGAGGCUUUUCUCUCUGAGAGAUUUAUGGACCAGACUGCAGGAAGUGACUGGUAAACUGGCAGCAAUGCUGGAAGGACACUCCUGCCUGUGUUACUCUCAUACUGCCUUACAUAGUCAAAGCUGGAGAAAAAAAGUGAAAGAUUCACAUUAUUACAGUAAACAACAUAGAGAACAACACACACACACUCAGAGACGGAAGUGGAUUCAGAGACGGGUUACACGUGGACUUAAGCUGAUUUUCUCAGUGUGUCUUUCAGAUUAUUAACAUCACCUGCAUGUAGUUCACACUUCAGAGUUUUAUUGAAUAGAAGCGUCUGUGACAGGAUUUAACAAUAAUAACGUCUAGACCACUGCCUUUAAACACAAGCACUCACCUUUAGGGUAAAACAAAAAUCUUUUUUGGCCUUUUUUGCGUUCCUUUUUCCAUAUUGCUUACUUUAACAAGUUGCACUGUGUCUCGAGACUUCAGGUACAGAUCAAAUUAUAACAAGUUCAUAACCAUUAAAAUAAACAAUUUCACAAUAAAUGGAAUUAAAUCAAGAACAUUUAUGGAAGAAAAAAUGUUUAAAUUUCAGGAUAAAAUAUCAACUUUAAAAUUAUUUUUCAGUUUUUAAUGGAAUUUUAAUUUUAAUUUCUAAACAAAACUGAACUAAAUGAUGGGGGGGCGCUAGUGCGCAAGUGUAUGGAGUAGACGGAUUCAACUUUUGGAAAAUAAAUGUCUGGACCUGGCUAAAGCUAACAACCAACUGCAAGCUAAGGUUUACAACCUGGAGGCGCACUCCUGUAGAAACAACAUCAAAAUUGUGGGCAUACCUGAAGGAGAAGAAGAAGGCAAACCCACAGAAUUUGUUUCCAAGUUGAUUGCUAAAUUGUUUUCAAUGGAGCACUUCCCAAAGCUUGUGUCUAUUGACCGUGCGCAUCGCCUAUGGACUAUACAAACGUUGCACUGAUGCAACGCCGCACUUUUCGUGACGUGCUGCGAGCCCUGCGUAGUGUUGCCAACUAUUUUCAAUGGAAAUUAUUUUGAACGAAUCUUUAACGUGACUCGGGAAGAACGAGUCGUCUCGGGGAGUGAUUCGUUCAGUCGCCCAUGCGCAACAUCUAAUAGGUUCUGUACUGGAAUUAGUUCACCUGUUUCGAGUCUUCCAGUCUGAGUCGUUCGUUCAUCACGUGACAGCCCCAAUGGUUAAGCUUAUAGGGCUGUCACGUGAUGAACGAACGACUCAAACCCGAAGACUUGAGAGAUGAACUAAUCAAUUCUCUUUCUGGCUCAGACUGCACUGGUUAAGCUUAUAGGGCUGUCACGUGAUGAACGAACGACUCAAACCCGAAGACUUGUCAGGUAAGAGGUGAGGUGAGCUAAUCAUAGACUAAAGAUCCAGGUAAACAAUGAAUUAAUGUCUUCUGUUUAUUAUAGCAUUAUAGUUUUGUCUUGUUUGUAGUGUGAUCAACGUUUGCGUAAAUAGUAGUUGUGUUAGGGAAGUAACACGUAACAUUUUAAUUAUAUUUUGCUAAAAUGAACGAAAUGACUCGAAAAAAGAUUCAUUCAUUUUGCUGAACGAGACUCAAAGGUCCGAGUCGGUAAAAUGAUCCGAACUUCCCAUCACUAAUGGAAAGUAGCUAAACCCUGCUUGAAAAGAAGCUAAAUGUCGCUAAAUGACGUCAUGCGUCAUUAGCAUAUUAAUGACAUCAUCACGUCGUAUUUGCAUUCUGCGUAAUGUCGGCACUUCAUAACUGUUUUCUCCCCUAAUCCGUGCUCACAAACUGUUUUAAUAUAAAUAUAUAGCCGAAUGUCCAGUAAAGCUGUUCUCAAUUACAUAUUUUCUGUCAGGCAACGGAACGGAACUUACUACAUGUUAACCAGAAGUUACUUCCACAGCACUGAUAAAAUUCCGGUGAACCACGACGUCGUUGGACAAAACCACUAUACAUAUCACUCCAUGAGAAUGCUGAGACAGAAUUCAUCAUCAUCCACAAGAUCCAUACCCUCAGUGCUCUCCUCCUGUGGGGUGAUAUUGGAUGCAGAGGAUGAGCUAGAACCUGGACAGGACUUAAAUGAAUAAGCAGCUGAAGUGCCAAAGAGCUGCAGCACUUUAUCAGGCAGUUUGUGCUCAUAACAUGCAUCUCCAGCCAACCUCAAACCAUAUCUAAUAUACAGAAUAGAGCUGAGGGUCUGCAGGGACAUGUGGUUCCUGAGUUUGUUUUUAAUGACACCCAUUUGACUGAAAAGCCUCUCUACCUCAGCAUUUGAGUGUGGGAGGGAAAAGACAGAAACUGCAACAGAAGCCAAGUCUUCAUAUAGGUUUAUGCCUGCUGAAUCUCUAUACUUCUUAACUUCAGCCCAGAAUGCCAAAGUGUUUGUUGUUUCCUCCCAUUUCUGAAGGUGAAUAGACCUCCACUGAUUAAUAGUUUUAUCAGUUGUGGCCGGGCAAUAUCCUAACAGGUCUGCAAGUUUUGCCAUGUCUGUAAGGCUCUUGUUGUGGUUCAGUGUC